AGAAGGCAUCUUCUUGUUAUUAAAGAAUUUCGAUAAUCGAUGGGGAUGCGUUCCAUUAGUUUGUUGGCGGGGUAACGGCCCACCAAGACAUCGAUGGAUAGGGGUUCUGAGAGGAAGGUCCCCCACAUUGGAACUGAGACACGGUCCAAACUCCUACGGGAGGCAGCAGUGAGGAAUAUUGGUCAAUGGACGAGAGUCUGAACCAGCCAAGUAGCGUGAAGGAUGACUGCCCUAUGGGUUGUAAACUUCUUUUAUAUGGGAAUAAAGUGAGCCACGUGUGGCUUUUUGUAUGUACCAUACGAAUAAGGAUCGGCUAACUCCGUGCCAGCAGCCGCGGUAAUACGGAGGAUCCGAGCGUUAUCCGGAUUUAUUGGGUUUAAAGGGAGCGUAGGCGGAUUAUUAAGUCAGUUGUGAAAGUUUGCGGCUCAACCGUAAAAUUGCAGUUGAUACUGGUAGUCUUGAGUGCAGCAGAGGUAGGCGGAAUUCGUGGUGUAGCGGUGAAAUGCUUAGAUAUCACGAAGAACUCCGAUUGCGAAGGCAGCUUACUGGACUGUAACUGACGCUGAUGCUCGAAAGUGUGGGUAUCAAACAGGAUUAGAUACCCUGGUAGUCCACACAGUAAACGAUGAAUACUCGCUGUUUGCGAUAUACAGCAAGCGGCCAAGCGAAAGCAUUAAGUAUUCCACCUGGGGAGUACGCCGGCAACGGUGAAACUCAAAGGAAUUGACGGGGGUCCGCACAAGCGGAGGAACAUGUGGUUUAAUUCGAUGAUACGCGAGGAACCUUACCCGGGCUUAAAUUGCAACUGACGGAUUUGGAAACAGAUCUUCCUUCGGGCAGUUGUGAAGGUGCUGCAUGGUUGUCGUCAGCUCGUGCCGUGAGGUGUCGGCUUAAGUGCCAUAACGAGCGCAACCCUUAUCUUUAGUUACUAACAGGUCAUGCUGAGGACUCUAGAGAGACUGCCGUCGUAAGAUGUGAGGAAGGUGGGGAUGACGUCAAAUCAGCACGGCCCUUACGUCCGGGGCUACACACGUGUUACAAUGGGGGGUACAGAAGGCAGCUACACAGCGAUGUGAUGCUAAUCCCAAAAGCCUCUCUCAGUUCGGAUUGGAGUCUGCAACCCGACUCCAUGAAGCUGGAUUCGCUAGUAAUCGCGCAUCAGCCACGGCGCGGUGAAUACGUUCCCGGGCCUUGUACACACCGCCCGUCAAGCCAUGAAAGCCGGGGGUACCUGAAGUACGUAACCGCAAGGAGCGUCCUAGGGUAAAACUGGUAAUUGGGGCUAAGUCGUAACAAGGUA
rnacentral:rRNA from 1 species